rnacentral:sRNA from 1 species
UUUGGAUUUGAGGUUAGGUCUAUAGAAUAUAGUGAUACUAGAUUUUAACCCGCGGUAUACCGCGGGACGAUUUGUUUUUAAAAGUAAUAUAUAUUAAAACUUGCAAAUUUUAUUUUUAUAAAAUAUUUAUAUUUUACAGUUUAUAAUUGUUAUUAAGUAACGCUAUACCACGAAUUCAUGAGACAAUUGUUAAACAACUGAAGUUUUGACCCCUAUUAAAACAGCAUAUUAAUAAUAUUUUAAAAUUUUAUAAAUAUUGAUUCAAAUACAUCCACCAUAUAACCCAAUUCCAAAAUAAAACACGUUCUGUAAUUUUUUUACCCGGCCCAUGAUUUUUUUUUAAAGUAGUAAUUUUUAAAAUUUUAGAAUUAUUUUUUAUAUAUAAAAGUUUUGCAAAUUGUAUCAUUCUCUAAUACAUUUAUAUUUUAUAGUUUAAAUUAAAUUAAUUAAAAUUUAGAUAUCAAAUCUUAUAAGUUGAUUUUGAUUGGCUAUUAUUUUUGGAAAUUAAUAAUGUAUUUCGUUUUUUAAUUAAUUUA